UGGGGAAUAUUGGACAAUGGGCGAAAGCCUGAUCCAGCCAUGCCGCGUGUGUGAAGAAGGUCUUCGGAUUGUAAAGCACUUUAAGUUGGGAGGAAGGGCAGUAAGCGAAUACCUUGCUGUUUUGACGUUACCGACAGAAUAAGCACCGGCUAACUCUGUGCCAGCAGCCGCGGUAAUCCAGAGGGUGCAAGCGUUAAUCGGAAUUACUGGGCGUAAAGCGCGCGUAGGUGGUUCGUUAAGUUGAAUGUGAAAGCCCCGGGCUCAACCUGGGAACUGCAUCCAAAACUGGCGAGCUAGAGUAGGGCAGAGGGUGGUGGAAUUUCCUGUGUAGCGGUGAAAUGCGUAGAUAUAGGAAGGAACACCAGUGGCGAAGGCGACCACCUGGGCUCAUACUGACACUGAGGUGCGAAAGCGUGGGGAGCAAACAGG
rnacentral:rRNA from 1 species